AUUGAACGCUGGCGGCAGGCCUAACACAUGCAAGUCAAGCGGAUGAAGGGAGCUUGCUCCUGGAUUCAGCGGCGGACGGGUGAGUAAUGCCUAGGAAUCUGCCUGGUAGUGGGGGAUAACGUCCGGAAACGGGCGCUAAUACCGCAUACGUCCUGAGGGAGAAAGUGGGAGAUCUUCGGACCUCACGCUAUCAGAUGAGCCUAGGUCGGAUUAGCUAGUUGGUGGGGUAAAGGCCUACCAAGGCGACGAUCCGUAACUGGUCUGAGAGGAUGAUCAGUCACACUGGAACUGAGACACGGUCCAGACUCCUACGGGAGGCAGCAGUGGGGAAUAUUGGACAAUGGGCGAAAGCCUGAUCCAGCCAUGCCGCGUGUGUGAAGAAGGUCUUCGGAUUGUAAAGCACUUUAAGUUGGGAGGAAGGGCAGUAAGUUAAUACCUUGCUGUUUUGACGUUACCAACAGAAUAAGCACCGGCUAACUUCGUG
rnacentral:rRNA from 1 species